rnacentral:rRNA from 1 species
UACAGAGGCCUCGAGCGUUAGGCGGAAUCACUGGGCUUAAAGCGUGUGUAGGCGGAUGCCUAAGUACCUUGUGAAAUCCCACGGCUUAACCGUGGAACUGCUUGGUAUACUGGGUGUCUUGAGCCACUCAGGGGCGAGCGGAACAAAUGGUGGAGCGGUGAAAUGCGUAGAUAUCGUAAGGAAGACCAGUGGCGAAGGCGGGUCUCUGGACAGUUCCUGACGCUGAGGCACGAAGGUCAGGGGAGCAAACGGG